GGCUUUGUAGCUCACUCGGAGGAGCACUAGCCGUGUGUGAGCAUGCUGUUUCCGUUGCUGGUUCAAAUCCAGCCUAAGUCC